AUAGGACCACGUUAGAGAUCUGCCUAACUAAGCUCAGUGCCUUACCUUUCAGAAGAGGAUGAUGAAAAGUCAGAUAGUGAGGGCGGAGACCUGGAUAAACAGAUGGGCGAUCUCAAUGGUGAGGAAGCUGACAAACUUGAUGAGAGGCUUUGGGGUGAUGACGAGGAGGAAGAAGAGGAGGAAGAAGACAAUAAAACUGAAGAAACAGGACCAGGAAUGGAUGAGGAAGACUCUGAACUUGUUGCUAAAGAUGACAACUUGGAUGCUGGGAAUUUGAACAAAGAUGAAAAACAGAAAAAUAAGAAAGAAGAAAAGGAAGAAGCAGGAUCCAAUGAGGAGGGACAAGGCCAAGAUAAAAUUAAUGAACAAAUAGAUGAGAGAGAAUAUGAUGAAAAUGAAGUGGACCCUUACCAUGGCAAUCAGGAAAAGCUGCCAGAACCUGAGGCUCUGGACCUUCCAGAUGACUUGAAUCUUGACAGUGAAGACAAGAAUGGUAGUGAAGAUACAGACAAUGAGGAAGCAGAAGAAGAGAAUCCUUUGGAGAUCAAAGAAAAACCUAUGGAUAUGGAAGAAGCAGGUCAUGAAGCUGAAGAGAUGAAUGAAGACACUGAGACUGACCAGAAUGAUGAUGAAAAUCAACCCAAGCCUGAGGAAGGCCCCAGUGAAGAUGACAAGGUGGGAGAGGAGGAGGAGAUGGAUACAGAAGCUGAUGACCAAGACAAAGGUGCUGCCGAACAUCCUGAAGAAAACUCAGAGGAGCAGCCGCAGCCAUCUCUGGAGGAAGAAGACAGGGAAGCCACUGAGGAAGGUGGAGAUAAUGGCACCCCUGUUGACCAAGGUCUCCAGCCUCAGAAUUCGGAAGAGGAGGAGAAAUCUGACACAGAGGAGCAGUUGCCAGAGGCAAUGGAGAGGAAAGAGCAUACUUCCUAUGGGCAGACUGCUAUGGAGAACAUACAGAGUGCACAGGCCGUGGAGCUGGCUGGGGUUGCACCUGAAAAGGAGCAGGGGAAAGAGGACCAUGGGAAUGGAGCCGCAGAUGCAAACCAGGCACAAGGUCAUGAAUCCAACUUCCUUGCCCGGCUGGCCUCCCAGAAACAUACCAGGAAAAACACACAGAGUUUUAAGAGGAAACCUGGGCAGGCUGACAACGAACGCUCCAUGGGUGAUCACAAUGAGCAUGUGCAUAAAAGGCUGAGAACUGUGGAUAACGACAGCCAGGCUGAACAGGAGGCAGCCCAGCCCCAACCUCAGCCCCAUGCAGAAGACGCAGACGCAUAUGAGCACAUUAAACAAGGACAUGACACAUAUGAUGCACAGACGUAUGAUGUGGCUAGCAAGGAGCAGCAGCAGUUUGCAGAAGACUCUGGCAAAGAUCAACAAGAUGAAGAAAUAGAGGAUGCCCUCAUGGAUACAGAGAAACAGGAAGAACUCCAAACAGCAGACAUGGAACAGCUGAAGCCAGAGGAAGUCAAGUCAGGAACCACAACAGUUUCUAGCCCUGAUGAAAUGGAAGUAGAAGCUCAAAUUGUUAAACCAGAGGAACACCAAGACUCCAGAAUAGACAGAUCCUACAAGGAGAGAGAGAAUGAGAAACCAGAGAGAAGCCGAGAUUCAACCAUUCAUACCGCCCAUCAGUUUCUUAUGGAUAUAAUUUUCCAGCCCCUUAUAAAAGAUAUUAAUCAGCUAAGACAGGAGAUGGAAAGACAACUAGAAACAUGGGAGCCACAGGAAUCUGGAAACUCGGGAGAAGAGAUGGCUGCAGCUGAGAUGUGGCAGAAUUAUCUGAUCUUGACUACACCUCUUUCACAACAGUUAUGUGAGCAACUUCGUCUCAUAUUAGAACCUACUCAGGCAGCCAAAUUGAAAGGAGACUAUCGAACAGGAAAGCGACUGAACAUGCGGAAGGUCAUUCCAUACAUUGCCAGUCAAUUUCGGAAAGACAAGAUUUGGCUCCGAAGGACCAAGCCCAGUAAACGCCAGUAUCAGAUUUGUUUAGCUAUUGAUGACUCUUCUAGUAUGGUAGACAAUCACACCAAACAGCUUGCAUUUGAAUCAUUGGCUGUGAUUGGAAGUGCUCUAACCCUUCUGGAAGUGGGUCAGAUUGCAGUGUGCAGUUUUGGAGAGACAGUAAAGCUAUUACACCCAUUCCAUGAGCAGUUCAGUGAUUAUUCCGGGUCCCAGAUUCUACGGCUAUGCAAAUUCCAACAAAAGAAAACCAAGAUUGCUCAGUUUCUAGAGUCUGUAGCCAACAUGUUUGCAGCUGCUCAGCAACUCUCACAAAACAUCAGUCCAGAAACUGCACAACUUCUCCUAAUAGUCUCUGAUGGACGAGGUCUUUUUCUUGAGGGCAAAGAAAGGGUCUUGGCAGCAGUUCAGGCUGCCCAGAAUGCUAACAUCUUUAUCAUUUUUGUUGUGUUGGACAAUCCCAGUUCUCGGGAUUCUAUCUUGGACAUUAAAGUACCAAUAUUUAAAGGACCCGGAGAGAUGCCUGAAAUCCGAUCAUACAUGGAAGAGUUCCCUUUCCCAUUCUAUAUCAUCCUUCGAGAUGUGAAUGCUCUUCCUGAGACACUCAGUGAUGCCCUCAGACAGUGGUUUGAGUUGGUGACUGCCUCUGAUCACCCUUAGAACAGAAAAAGCUGUCCAAAGCAAAACUGUUUGAAUCAUGGUCAGAAUAUUGCAAAUCUUACCUGAUGCUCCCUUUUGGAUAACUGUUUCUGAAAUUAUCCCUCUAAAAUACAUUGUUUUGAUUUUUAAAAUCCACCCAACGGCUACAAAACAUAUGAAAUCUCCUUAAUAAACCUGGGACAGAGAAGGAACAAACAUAAGCGGCAGGGCUCCCGUCUCAUAACUGAGGAGGCCAUACCCUCCCUGGAUCCAGCUACGUGUUUUCCCCUUGCAGAAACAUUUCUUGAGAUGCUGUCAGGAAUGAACUGUGGACCCUUUGGCCCUACUUUAAGUUCUGCCUUGGUGAACCUAAAGGCUGUCAUGUGGCUGAGAUGCAUACAGUUUUAUGCAGAGCCUGACCGCACAAUAAAUAUGGUAAGAAAAUGCACAAAGAACUCCUCUUAGAAGACAGGAAGCCCACGCAAUCGACAUAUAUAAGUAAAAAUGAAGUGGCUUUUCAGUGUCCUCACAUUUGCUGCUUCGGGAGACUAUGCAAUAACAAAGAUAAUUUUCCCUUGAUUUCAUUCUCUCAGUGCCAUAGUUCUAUUUGUUAUAAUAAUUUAUUUUAGUUUUUAUUUUUUUCCCUUAAUAGUUUAGGAGAAGAAUCAUUCCUCCCACUGCUUUCAAGCUAGACUGAGCCAGUCUCAUUCUGGAAAAGAAAUGCUAUGUUCACAGAAUUAAGCAGCUACAUCUACUUUUUUCCCCCCCAGUUAAAAUACACCAUUGGUUUUUCUUUGGCCAGAAAGCAGUGAUGUUUGAAUACUUGAAACUGUGAGCUGUAUUCUAUUUAAUGUUCUUUUGUAGGCAACAUGCUAUGACAUAAUCAUCUCUUCAUGUCUUUUAAGUUACACUGUGAAGUCUGCCACCCUUAUAGGUGGUGAUCAUUAAACACAGAUUGCUUGUUGUUUAACCAAAUGUCCUAAAGCAUGUAUCAAGUUAUCAUUUUUUAUUCUCGAAAACUAUGCAGUUUAUAUUCUGAAAGUUAUUAAAAUAAUACAACAUUGUUCAGAUAUGUUGUGAUUCCCCACACACAUUCCUGUGGAUUGAACCCAAGGAUGCUCUAUCACUGACCUAGCUAUAGCCUCGGCCCUUCUUAGUGAAA
rnacentral:lncRNA from 1 species